UACGUAGGUGGCAAGCGUUGUCCGGAAUCAUUGGGCGUAAAGAGCGCGUAGGCGGCCCUGUAAGUCCGCUGUGAAAGUCAAGGGCUCAACCCUUGAAUGCCGGUGGAUACUGCAGGGCUAGAGUCCGGAAGAGGCGAGUGGAAUUCCUGGUGUAGCGGUGAAAUGCGCAGAUAUCAGGAGGAACACCGAUGGCGAAGGCAGCUCGCUGGGACGGUACUGACGCUGAGGCGCGAAAGCGUGGGGAGCAAACAGG
rnacentral:rRNA from 1 species